rnacentral:rRNA from 1 species
AGCAUAUCAAUAAGCGGAGGAAAAGAAACUAACAAGGAUUCCCCUAGUAACUGCGAGUGAAGCGGGAAAAGCUCAAAUUUAAAAUCUGGCAGUCUUUGGCUGUCCGAGUUGUAGUCUGGAGAAGUGCUUUCCGCGCUGGACCGUGUACAAGUCUCCUGGAAUGGAGCGUCAUAGAGGGUGAGAAUCCCGUCUUUGACACGGACUACCAGUGCUCUGUGAUGCGCUCUCAAAGAGUCGAGUUGUUUGGGAAUGCAGCUCAAAAUGGGUGGUGAAUUCCAUCUAAAGCUAAAUAUUGGCGAGAGACCGAUAGCGAACAAGUACCGUGAGGGAAAGAUGAAAAGCACUUUGGAAAGAGAGUUAAACAGUACGUGAAAUUGUUGAAAGGGAAACGCUUGAAGUCAGUCGCGUUUGCCAGAACUCAGCCUAGCUUCGGCUUGGUGUACUUUCUGGUGAACGGGCCAGCAUCAAUUUUGAUCGUCGGAUAAUGGCAAGGGGAAUGUGGCACCUUCGGGUGUGUUAUAGCCCCUUGUCGCAUACGGCGGUUGGGAUUGAGGAAUUCGGCAUCCCCUCGUGGUUGAUGCUUAGGAUGCUGGCGUAAUGGCUUUAAACGACCCGUCUUGAAACACGGACCAAGGAGUCUAACAUGCCCGCGAGUGUUCGGGUGGAAAACCCGUGCGCGUAAUGAAAGUGAAAGUUGGGACCUCUGUUGUGGAGGGCACCGACGCCCGGACCAGACCUUCUGUGACGGAUCCGCGGUAGAGCGUGUAUGUUGGGACCCGAAAGAUGGUGAACUAUGCCUGAAUAGGGUGAAGCCAGAGGAAACUCUGGUGGAGGCUCGUAGCGAUUCUGACGUGCAAAUCGAUCGUCAAAUUUGGGUAUAGGGGCGAAAGACUAAUCGAACCAUCUAGUAGCUGGUUCCUGCG